GUCUUCUUCGCAAUGCCAGAUGGUAUGGGCUUCCUAGCUUUGUGAUCACAGGGAAGGCCUCAAUGAAAUGCAAGGCAGUUUCUGGAUCCUUGUGAUUGCACAUUGUUCAACUGCCCUAUGCCAGUAACCUCUUAUUGAGGGUUGACCUGAGGUUGAUCUCUGCUGCUAUUGCACCAUCACUUAAGGUCAAAGACAGAAGGAAUGGAUUAUAUAAAAAAUGAGAAGUCCGGGCCUGACCUAGAGCCUGUAAAAGCUGUUCAAUUUACCAAGGGCUUGGAACAGGAGUUCAACUUGUUUGAAUUCAAAAGCGGGAACUGUUGCUGAGUGCGAGCGGAUUCAAGCACGAUGGAGCGGGCCAAUGAGGAAGUCUCGGAAACAGGGCAGCUGUCAAAGCUCGUGGAAGUAGAAACAAUAACGGAGACACGGGAGUAGUUGAAUGAUUGGAGGUUCGCGUCGAGAAGUUUAGUAACCGUUGAACGGGAUUCAAGGUCUAUAAACAGAAGGAAUGCAGAAGGAGCACGGACACUCAAGCUAUGUCAAAACUGUCAAAUUUUCGUCUCGAGUCUUUUUCCUUUGUGUUUGUAGCAAUGUCUUUCAGUUUCACUUUUAGUUUUAGUUUUCGAAUCGAUCUUAUAUUGCACGUACUUGCAUUAUGAAUAUGGUAAUUAACACUAGACUCGUCAUCAUUUAUAGUGAAAAGUUAAUACGAGUGAGUGAGCAUGCUCAUCUUAGACUUC